rnacentral:rRNA from 1 species
UACGGGGGGCAAGCGUUGUUCGGAAUUACUGGGCGUAAAGGGCUCGUAGGCGGCCAACUAAGUCGGACGUGAAAUCCCCAGGCUCAACCUGGGAACUGCGUCCGAUACUGGAUGGCUUGAAUUCGGGAGAGGGAUGCAGAAUUCCAGGUGUAGCGGUGAAAUGCGUAGAUAUCUGGAGGAAUACCGGUGGCGAAGGCGGCAUCCUGGACCGACAUUGACGCUGAGGAGCGAAAAGCUAGGGGAGCAAACGGG